rnacentral:misc_RNA from 1 species
GAUUUAUGCUAUCAAUGGUAAUAUGAGGGUGGUUUCAAUGUGCAUAUCUGCACUACAAAUAGCACGCCCUUUUAUUUUACUUGAUGCCAAGAAAUUUAGGUCAUAUUACUCUUAAAUUAAGAGCCCAAAUUAGUAAACAAAUGAUAAGUUCUUGUAUUUGAAGAGCUCAUUUCUCAUCAGUCCCGUAAUUUUGUUAUAAGAAUUAAUAUUUGUUCUGUUUAGAAAUCCUUUUUGGAUAGAAUGGUGGUUAGUUUAGUUUACUAAAUAAGAAUUAACUCUUUUGAGUAUCUAUUAGUGUUAGUGUUUGUGAGAUGGUGAAAGUAAAAUUUUGUUUCAUAGCCUUUCAA